UACGUAGGUGACAAGCGUUGUCCGGAUUUACUGGGCGUAAAGAGCGCGCAGGCGGUCGUUCAAGUCGAGUGUGAAAGCCCCCGGCUCAACUGGGGAGGGUCACGCGAUACUGAUCGACUCGAAGGCAGGAGAGGGAAGUGGAAUUCCCGGUGUAGUGGUGAAAUGCGUAGAUAUCGGGAGGAACACCAGUGGCGAAGGCGACUUCCUGGCCUGUUCUUGACGCUGAGGCGCGAAAAGCUAGGGGAGCAAACGGGG
rnacentral:rRNA from 1 species